UGGGGAAUCUUGCGCAAUGGGCGAAAGCCUGACGCAGCGACGCCGCGUGUGGGAUGAAGGCCUUCGGGUUGUAAACCACUGUCGGGAGGGACGAAGCUCUGACGGUACCUCCAAAGGAAGCACCGGCUAACUCUGUGCCAGCAGCCGCGGUAAUACAGAGGGUGCGAGCGUUGUCCGGAAUCACUGGGCGUAAAGGGCGCGUAGGCGGCCUGGUAAGUAGGGGGUGAAAUUCUGCGGCUUAACCGCAGAGCUGCCUUCUAAACUGUCAGGCUCGAGCACGGUAGAGGCUGGUGGAAUUCCCGGUGUAGCGGUGGAAUGCGUAGAGAUCGGGAAGAACAUCGGUGGCGAAGGCGGCCAGCUGGGCCGUUGCUGACGCUGAGGCGCGAAAGCGUGGGGAGCAAACAGG
rnacentral:rRNA from 1 species